rnacentral:tRNA from 1 species
GCGGACGUAGCUCAGUUGGUAGAGCAUCAGCUUCCCAAGCUGAGGGUCGCGGGUUCGAGCCCCGUCGUCCGCU